GACGAACGCUGGCGGCGUGCUUAACACAUGCAAGUCGAACGGAAAGGCCCUGCUUUUGUGGGGUGCUCGAGUGGCGAACGGGUGAGUAACACGUGAGUAACCUGCCCUUGACUUUGGGAUAACUUCAGGAAACUGGGGCUAAUACCGGAUAGGAGCUCCUGCUGCAUGGUGGGGGUUGGAAAGUUUCGGCGGUUGGGGAUGGACUCGCGGCUUAUCAGCUUGUUGGUGGGGUAGUGGCUUACCAAGGCUUUGACGGGUAGCCGGCCUGAGAGGGUGACCGGCCAAAAUGGGAAUGGGGAAAGGGCCAGAAUCCGUAGGGAGGGAGGAGGUGGGAAAAAUGGAAAAAGGGGGGAAGGCGGAAGCAGGCACGCCGGGGGCGGGAAGAAGGCCUUUGGGGUGGAAAACGGUUUCGGCUGGGAAGAAGGGGGAGGGAAGGUAAUGGGUAAAGAAGCACCGGCUAACUACGUG
rnacentral:rRNA from 1 species